AGCAGUCGCCGCGGUAAUACGAAGGGUGCAAGCGUUACUCGGAAUUACUGGGCGUAAAGCGUGCGUAGGUGGUGGUUUAAAUCCGUUGUGAAAGCCCUGGGCUCAACCUGGGAAUUGCAGUGGAUACUGGGUCACUAGAGUGUGGUAGAGGAUAGUGGAAUUUCCGGUGUAGCAGUGAAAUGCGUAGAGAUCGGAAGGAACAUCUGUGGCGAAGGCGACUAUCUGGGCCAACACUGACACUGAGGCACGAAAGCGUGGGGAGCAAACAGGAUUAGAUACCCCGGUAGUCCCUGUCUCUUAUAC
rnacentral:rRNA from 1 species